UACCAGCUCUCCGAGUAGUGUGGAUGUUUAUUGGGCCUAAAGCAUCCGUAGCUUGCUAAGCAAGUCCCCUGUUAAAUCCACCGAUUUAAUCGUUGGAUUGCGGGGGAUACUGUUUGGCUAGGGGACGGGAGAGGCCGACGGUAUUUCCGGGGUAGGGGUGAAAUCCUAUAAUCCCGGGAAGACCGCCAGUGGCGAAGGCUGUCGGCUAGAACGCGCCCGACGGUGAGGGAUGAAAGCUGGGGGAGCGAACCGGAUUAGAUACCCGGGUAGUCCCAGCUGUAAACGAUGCAGGCUAGGUGUUUGGGCGGCCACGAGCCGCCCUAGUGCCGCAGGGAAGCUGUUAAGCCUGCCGCCUGGGAGUACGGCCGCAAGGCUGAAACUUAAUGGAAUUGGCGGGGAGCACCACAAGGGGUGAGGCUUGCGGUUU
rnacentral:rRNA from 1 species